AGCGCGGGCAUGCGGGACGGGCGUGCGCCGCUCGUGCGUGCCCCCGCGCGCCCUCCCAGGCAGCUGGGGGGCGCUGCCUGGAAGCGGCUGGGGCUGGGCGCGCGCGGCGCUUCCAGAACCCGCUCUGGGAACAAAGCGGGAAGCGCAGGCUGGGUUCGGCCGGGGGCGCGGCCCCUAGAAAACGUUCUAGAUGCUAAGAGAUAACAAAAUGAAAAUGAAUGGACAAGCAACAAGGAAGCAUUAAAAAAAAACGGCUAAAGCAUAAAGAUUUGUGAUUCUGCCUUAGCUUGCUCAUUCCCAGGGUUUCCAGAUGUCAUUAUACUUACACUUGUAUUCUAAGAUAUUUAUGGUUUAGAUUCAAAGGACUGACAAGGCUUUUUGAGCAACUUGCCAGGAUUCCUGACUUCCUAUCCCCGAGGCCGCCUCUGAACUGAGGACACAACCUUGGGACCCGCCAUUGACUUUUUAUUCUCCCCUAUCUGCGCAGGUCCAACCCUGCGGGUGAUGGUUAAGGCCAGGCCAACUUCCUAGAUUGCUGCCUUACUGAGGACCCAGAAGAACAAGCAUCUGUCUCUCCCUCCUGCCCUGGGUUCUUUCCUAGCAAUGAUGCUGAGGGUAGAAGAGGUGUGACUGUGUAGGGGGAGAAGCAGGAAGUGUGUUUACCACACUGACUUGAUCAGGUCAGCGGUUCUCAGGUGCGCUCUCCACGAGGACUGGUUGACCUGUUUCUACUGCAUUAAUUAGACUUGUCCUUGGAGACCUUUCGCUCCGUGCAGUAAACUUUCCCUCUGGCUCUGCAGUUCUCAGUUACUACUUCCCCAUGUUUCAUAUAUAUUUCCAAGCUUAUCUCCCUAAAACAAAAAAAGAGCUUAUUGAUUAUUUUCUUUUUCUUCCCCUCCUAUUAGUUUGCUUCUGCAAUACUAAUAAAAUAGUGUUCACAUCCCCAUUAUAAUUUUCCAUGCCACACUAUUUAUUUAUUUUUAUUUAUUUAUUUGGCUGUGCCAGGUCUUAGUUGUGGCACGUGGGAUCUUCGUUGUGGUGUGCGGGAUCUAGUUCCCCAACCAGGGAUCAAACCCAGGCUCCCUGUAUUGGGAGCACAGAGUCUUAACCAUUGGACCACCAGGGAAGUCCCAUGCUACACUAUUUAAAAUAUCAACUUACUAAUCACUUCUUUCUGAGGGUGACAUCUCUGAACGAGGCUUGGCUGCCAUAUCCGGAAGCUCUACGGACCCCUCUAGAAAACACUGGCCAACGUUACUCCAGUGUUUUAAAGUGUGGUCAUGGUCCCCCUGGCAUUUUCUAAUUUAGUUUUAAUUGCUCUACCACCUCUUUUAUAAAAUGUCUACUUUCAUGUCACUUGAGCUAGAAGGCAGAUUUUCUUGUUUCCUCUGGAUUUCAGAGCAUUCUGGAGUGCCUUUAGUGAAAUUCACUCAGGGGAACACUGAUUCCCCUCUCACACUUAUCUCGAAGAAGUCAGUUCUGUGCAACCCUUUAGUCCCGGGCAGGGGGGGCGGGUCACCAAAUUUUUCUGUAAAGGUCCAGAUAGUAAAUAUUUUAGGCUUUACAGGACAAGAGGAAAAUCAAGAAAUAUGUAAUCCUGCUCCAGUCUCCUGCUUCUCCUCACUGGCUCCUGUAGAAAAUCCUCUAAAACAGGAGCAUCUUAAUACCUCACAGUAUUUGCACCACCUGUUUUACCUAUCUGGAAUGUUCUUUUGUCUAAUGACAAAAAAUUUUUUCUACAAUUUCUUUGAAAAUGAAAUUCAAAAUAUCAUAGUAAUUGAGUGUAACUUUUUUAUAAUCCAGGUAUACUGAUGAGAAUAAUGGAAUUCUUUUGAGAUAAUAUUUUGCUUAAUUGGGUUUCAAAAUCCGUGACCCUGUCAUCAAAUAUUGAGCUGUCAAUGCUGAGCUGUAAUGAGACUUUGUAUAUUUCAUCUUUGAAAAUGUCUCUCAGCCAGAUGGUACUGCCAAUGCUGCAUGAUUUUAAUUGAGCAUAUUCAUUGUGGGAUGGCAUGUAUAGAAUUAUCUUAGAUUCUUCUCUGGAUAUUUGCCUUUUAGCUUGUUUUUACAUUGCAGAUUAAUCCUCUUCAGUUGAAGGUUGGGUGGAAACUCCUCAAUUGCCCAAUUAAAUAGAUUUUGAAAUAUGGAAAUUUCCAUUGCACUUGGCAUCAAGUUCUGAAAAAUUCUGCUGGAACUGUAGUUGGAGCUCAGGAAAUAUAUCUGCUGCAAAUUUGUGUGAGAAUGAGAUCUUGCUUCUUGUUUUAACUUUUGACAGCACAGGAAGUGUAUAAAGCAGCUUAACAUUCCUUGUGAUUCAAAACAACAUUAGUUAUUGUCAACAUGACUGCCGCGGUAUACAUUUCACAUAUAAGCACUGUUUUUCCCUGUCAUCUUAUUUUAUUUUACUUUUUGUUUUUUGGCCUCACUACAUGGCUUAUGGGAUUUCCUGAACCAGGGAUUGUGAGCCUUGGCCCUCAGCAGUGAGCGUGCAGAGUCCUAACCACUGGACUGCCAGGGAAUUCCCAUGCCCUGUCAUUUUAGGUUGAAUUCACUGAGAAACAUUAUCAAGUCUGUAGCAAAAACUAAUUUCCAAGGCCAUUAAUUAUUCAGUGAUAAUGGUUUAGAAUGGUGCUCUGUUGUGAAAAAUUUCAGCCUUGGCUCUGAACUGAAAAAAACUGCAAUAAAACUUGACCACUGCUAAGCCAUCAAACUGCUAUGUGGUGGGGCAAUUCAGGCUAUUCAGCUUCUAAUUCUAACAAAAAUUCACAGAUCUGAUGAUGGAUUAAAAACAACAGCAAAGGAAGUUUGCUGUGGGUAACUCUAGUUCAAUAACACAUGAAUCAAAUAUUUUCUGCAAAUUAGCUCCUGAUGAGUAAUUUGAGUACAAUGAAUAACCAUAGGCUCUAAACACCUUACAUUUUCUAGAGCUUUAUAAAUUUGUCCAAGUAGGCCUCUUUCUGCUUCACACAUUUUUAUCUCCAGCAAACUUAACACAUCUUAGCAGAUUCCCCUUCAGGUUGUGUCUAAUUAGUGAUUUCUCAUCUUUUCUGAAAAUAUUCUUGCCACUAGUUGUUCUGUGCAGACUCUUCAAAGAGACUUAUUCUUUUUCUUUUUUAAAGAUUUUUCUUGAUGUGGACCAUUUUUUAAGAAGUCUUUAUUGAAUUUGUUACAAUACUGCUUUUGUUUUUUUUAUGUUUUGGUUUUUGGGCUGCGAGGCAUGUGGGAUCUCAGUUCCCUGACCAGGGAUCAAAUCCACACCCCCUGAAUUGGAAGGUGAAGUCUUAACCACUGGGCCACCAGGGAAGUCCCAAAGAGGCUUAUAUUCUUUGGUGACAUCAAACUCAGCAGUGACACCUCAAAUAAAAGCAACUGGACAGUAUUGGUGACAUCUAUCAACUCAUUGAUAAUCAAGGAAAAUCACUCACAAUAAUUUGUCCUGUUUUUUGUUUUUGUUUUGCUGCACCAAGCAGCUUGUGGGACCUUAGUUCCCCUACCAGGGAUCGGGCCCACGGCAGUGAAAGCGCCAAGUCCUAACCACUGGACCGCCAAGGAAUUCCCUAUCCUGUUCUCUAAUUGACCAUUGAUGGUGUUCCCAAUAUCCUCAAGUCUUUGAGCAACUUUCUCACUGAAUGUCUAAAGCAAGUUUAUUUUAUCUGGAUACCUUUCUUUGGCUGCUAAAAUCAACACAAUUCAAUUAACUUAGCAUCAGUAAGUGGCUCUCUCUGGCUAACAAAUCAGACACUUGGAAACCCACUUUGGUGGCAACCUCAUUUUCAUUUUUUAUUUUUGUGAAGAAAUUCCAGUGAGAUAUUCCAUCUGAAAUUUUCUAUUUUUUUCUAACUGUUGGUUUCCUCUGAGUUGGGAAUACAAUGAUGACUGCUUUAGUCUAACUUGUUGUGUAUUGCAUUCUUUUAGCACAGGUGGAGUGUCAUUGCAUCAUCAACCCAAUAUUUUGCUGUCGACUUCAAUAACAAAAUAAUCUACACUCCACUUUACCUUAAAAUUGUGAUAUUCAAAGUCUGAUUUUCUUCUUUUGACCAUGGAUGUGCACUGGCAAUAAAAAAAUAAGAUGCUGUGAGACAGUGAUAAUGUGGCAUUCAAAACGCUGUUGAGUCAUCACUGCAGAGGAUGAGAGCAGCUCACCCAGCCUCUGUCACAUUGCUCAGAUCUGCCAUUGCAGUGCAAAAGCAGCCACAGACGACAUGUGGCUUUAUUCCAAUGGAUGUGAGAGUAGCUUUUUUUUUUUUCUGGAAAUUUUAUUUUAUUUAAAAAUUUUUAUUGGAAUAUAGUUGAUUUACAAUGUUGUGUUAGUUUCAGCUGUACAGCAAAGUGAAUCAGUUAUACGUGUACAUAUAUCCACUGUUUUUUAGAUUCUUUUCCCAUAUAGGUCAUUACAGAGUAUUGAGUAGAGUUCCCUGUGCUGUACUGCUAUACAGUAGGUCCUUGUUGUUUGUCUGUUUUAUAUAUAGUAGUGUAUAUAUGUCAAUCUCCAUCUCCCAACUUAUCCCUCCCCCCCUUACCCCCUGGUAACCACAAGUUUGUUUCUACAUCUGUGACUCUACUUCUGUUUUGUAAAUAAGUUCAUUUGUACCCUUUUUUUUAGGUUCCUCAUAUAAUAAAUUCCUCAUAUUUGUCUUUGACUUAACUUGGUAUGAUAAUCUCUAGGUCCAUCCAUGUUGCUGCAAAUGGCAUUAUUUUUUUAUUUUUUAUGACUAAUAUUCCAUUGUAUAUAUGUACCACAUCUUUAUCCAUUUUUUAUGACUAAUAUUCCAUUGUAUAUAUGUACCACAUCUUUAUCCAUUUAUCUGUCGAUGGACAUUUAGGUUGCUUCCAUGUCCUGGCUAUUGUAAAUAGUGCUGCAAUGAACAUUGGGGUGCAUGUAUCUUUUCAAAUUAUGGUUCUCUCCAGGUAUAUGCCUAGGAGUGGCAUUGCUGGGUCAUAUGGUAGUUCUUUUUUUUUUUCUUUUUUUUUUUUGGCUGCACAGCGUGGCAUGUGGGAUGUUAGUUCCCUGACCAGGGAUUGAAACUUUGCCCUCUGCAGUGGAAGCACAGAGUCUUAACCACUGGACCACCAGGGAAGUCCCUGUUUGUAGAUUUUUUUUGAUGAUGAUCGUUCUAACUGGUAUGAGGUGAUACCUCAUUGUAGUUUUGAUUUGCAUUUCUCAAUUAGUGAUGUUGAUCAUCUUUCCAUGUGCUUUUUGGCCAUCUGUAAGUGUAGCUUUGUCCACAAAAACUUUACUUAUGGGCCCUGAAAUUUGAAUUUCACAUACUUUUGUUGUGUCAUGAAAUAUCCUUCUUUUGAUUUUUCUUCUCCAACCGUGUAAAGACGUAAAACUAUUCUUUGCUCACAAGCCACACAAAAACAGUCAGUGGGCUGGAUUUGGCCCAUGGAUUUGCCAUCUUUAGACCAAAAAUCUUCCAUAUUGAAUGUGUACCUUUUGUCCUGCUCCCAGUAUGACCCAGGAUUUCUAAUAGAUAUUCUCUUCCCUGAAACAGACCCCUGGUUUCAACCACACACCCCUGAUAAAUACAUUCAGUACUGGUUUGCUUCUUACUCCAUCUCUAUGUCUGGUCAGUUCUCUGUUUCACAGUAUUUAUCCCCAGAUAGCCUGGCACAUGAUUCCUUGUUACAUCCACAGCACCAUCAACACUCAUCCCAGACGGAGCUCCCUCAUCCAGGUAUAGGAUUACAUCCACAAGGACUGACUUGAGCUACUAGAGUUAGGUUCUAGAAUACAGAGCACGGGCCAAAUAUUACCCACACCGGCAACACAAAACUACUUCUCUAAUCCCUUAUUCCAUCUGAGACUGAGGCAAAAAGCAGCGAUUCUUAACUCUUGCUAACAUUUCAUCACCUGGGUGGCAUAAAAUGAAAAGCUCAGGCCUCAUCUCAAGAGACUAAUUUAAUUGAAUUGACAUGAGGAGACCUGAGUACUGUAUUUUAAAAAAUAUGUAAUGCAUUCAUAUGGUUCAAAUACAAAAAUGAUACAAAUGAUAUUCAUUGAGAAGUCUUAUUCCCACCCCAUCUAUCUUGGAGGUCCCUGUGUUUUACCAUUAAAAAAAAAAUUUACUUAUUAAGGCCACCCCGGGUCUUAGUUGUGGCAUGCGGGAUCUUUAUUGUGGCACAUGGGAUCUUUAGUUGUGGCAUGCAGACUUAGUUGCAGCACACAUGUGGGAUCUAGUUCCCUGACCAGGGAUUGAACCAGGACGCCCUGCACUGGGAGCAUGGAAUCUUACCCACUGGACCACUAGGGAAGUCCCUGUUUUACCAUUUUUAUUUGCCUCUUGUGUAUCAUACAAGUGUUUCUUUAUGCAAGUAAAAAGAAGAAUAUUUUUAUUUUCCCCCAUUCUUACACUAAAGGAAACAUUUUAUCCACUCUUCUGGAUCUGGCUUUAAAAAAAAUCUAAUGAGAUAUCCUGGAAAUAUUUCCAUAUGAGUAUGUAGAGAACUUUUUGUUUGUUUGUUUUUACAUUUGCAUGCUAUUCCAUUGUGAAGAUAUGCCGUAGUUUAUGUAACCAGCCUCCACAGACAGAUAUUCAAAUUAUUUCCAAACUUUUGUUGUUACAAACAAUGUCACAAUGUAUAACUGUAUUUGUAUGCCUGUAAUUUCACACGUAUACAGGUGUCUUAAUCUGUUUGGGCUGUUAAACUACCAUAGACUGGGUGGCUUAUAAACAGAAAUUCAAUUCUCAUAGUUCUGGAAGCUGGGAAGUCAAGGAUCAAGGUGCUGGCAGAUUCGGUGUCCGGUGAGGGCCCACUUCCUGGUUCCUGUGUCCUCACAUGGUGGAAGGGGCAAGGGAGCUCUCUGGGGUCUCUUUGGUAAGGGCACUAAUUCCAUUCAUGAGGGCUCCACCCUCAUGACCUAAUCACCUCCCAAAGACCCCACUUCCAAAUACCAUCAUCAUAUUGGGGAUUAGGUUUCAACUUAUGCAUUUUGGGGGGACACAAACAUUCAGUCUAUAAGAGCAGGUCUUUCUGUGAAUGAAUUCCCAGAAAUGGGACUGCAGAUUAAAGGAUAUAUGCACAUCCACAGAUAUGGUCAAAUUGCCCUCUGUAACACACUGUUUUGUCCUUCAGCAGUAACAGAAGAGAACACCUGUUUCCCCACAGCUUCAUCAACAGUGUGUGUCAGACCAGGCUGGGUGUAUGCAACAGUGGCUUCAUACAAGAAAGGUUUAUUUCUGACUUAGUCAUAGACAGGGCAUGUUCCUCUGAGCACCGACUCAGCAAUCCACGCUGGUGGAAGCACCACGGUCCCGAGGCUAUACCAAGCACAACACUUGAACUUCUCACUAUUGUUGAAUUGGGGAGCAGAACUGGAGAGUCUCUUUAGCUGAAUAGCACCAGCUAUUAAAUGUUUCAUCCCAGAGGAAGUAGGUUAAUUCUGCUUGCAUUUUACGGACGAGGAUGAGUCACAUGACAAGCCUAAAUGAAGAGAGAGCAGGAAUUGCAUUCUCUUCAUAUUCUCAGAAGUAGAGGAGAACCGGAUAUUGGUGUAAUUAUAUGUCCAACUUUCAGAUUCUUGCAACCUGAUAGAUGGAAAAAAUGUUCAGAGUAGUUUAAUUUUGCAUUUCUCUUAUUAGGAGUGAGGUUGAGAAUCUUUUCAUAUGUCAGAAUUUUCUGAAGCCCCUAGCUAAUUCUAAUGUGCAGCCUGAUUUGUACUUCCUGGAGAUUUCCUGCUCAGUUUUGACUUUCCAUCUGAGAGAAAUACCUUUUCCCUUCCACAAUGAGUAGGACAAUGGUGAUUGACUUGUCCUGCAGCUGAAACCCUGCCUUUUAAGUAACAGUAGUAGUUUGAUUCUCAUUCUAAGAUAACUUUCAAUCUACAAUAUAGCAUUUAUGCCAUACUUAGGUCCCAUUAUUACGGGAGGCAGGGUGGCCAUUCUGUAAUAGUGAGAGCCAGAACUAGAGAUUUUUGCCUGAAAAAAACUAGGACUCUGGCUUACCUGCUGCGAGAGUCUUGCAUCACAUCCUGGGAUUACCACCUCUAUUUGAGGGACAAAGUUUCUUAAAAUAGCUUUUCCUUGUGCUCUCAUCUCUAUAUGGGAACAUCCUUUUAUUUUUUAAUUUUAUUUGAAGUUUUUUUUAUUAUUAUUUUUUGGCCGCACCUCGAGGCUUGUAUGUGGGAUUUUAGUUCCCCAACCAGGGAUUGAACCUGGGCCCUUGGCAGUGAGAGUGCAGAGUCCUAACCAGUGGACUGCCAGGGAAUUCCCAGGGAACAUCCUUUUAAUGAUGUAGGCGGUGGACAGAAAACUUCAAUCCCUUUCCUCACACAAAAUGAAACCUUCAAAAGCUAGCCUGGGGCUUCCCUGGUGGCGCAGUGGUUGAGAGUCCGCCUGCUGAUGCAGGGGACACGGGUUCACACCCUGGUCCGGGAAGAUCCCACAUGCCGCGGAGCGGCUGGGCCCGUGAGCCAUGGCCGCUGAGCCUGCGCGUCUGGAGCCUGUGCGCAUGAACCCUUUUUUUUCCUACUCAGGUCCCUCUUUACACAUUUCAGUUUCCUACCCAUCAUAAUAGCAGUUCCUCUGAACAUCUUGGCUUCUGAAAAUGAAGACUUCGUUUUUGUUUAACCCCCCAGAUCACCUAGGAUCCUCUUAAUUCCCAGUGCAAAUCCUAUUAAAAAGCAGUGAUGACUCAGCUUGGGGUUCAACCCUCCUGCGAUUAGGCAAUCAGAUGGCUCCAUUCCUGCAGCUCUAGAAUGACUCAGUGACCUUAGGAGAAUUUACUUACCAUGGACCCAUGAUAUAACCAUCUUUCCUAGGCCAGCUUUCUGCUGUGAUGAUUAGAAACCCUAAUUCAAAAUAGCCAAAGCAGUAAGGGUAUCUGUCAUUCCCCAUAACACAAGGGCUGUAGUCAGGCAGCUCAAGAACCAGGAUGUCCAGACCCUGGGUCUGCUUCUCUGAUUUUCUUUCUUCUUUUUCUUAAAAUAAAUUUAUUUAUUUAUCUAUUUUUGACUGCGUUGGGUCUUCAUUGCUGCACGCGGGCUUUCUCUGGUUGCAGAGAGCGGGGGCUACUCUUUGUUGCAGUGCACGGGCUUCUCAUUGCGGUGGCUUCUUGUUGUGGAGCAUGGGCUCUAGGUGCAGCAGGCUUCAGUAUUUGUGGCACAUGGGCUCAGUAGUUGUGGCUCAUGGGCUUAGUUGCUCUGCAGCAUGUGGGAUCUUCCCGGACCAGGGCUCGAACCCAUGUCCUCUGCAUUGGCAGGCGGAUUCUUGACCACUGUGCCACCAGGGAAGUCCUCCUCUGAUUUUCUUGGUCUAAAUACCUUCAGAUUUUGGCUUCAUCCUCUGGCUGGCGGCUAGGUGGCUGCAAUUACCCCAGGCCUCACCCAAUCCAGUCAUGACGAGGCCCAGUGGAGGAAGGACUGUUGUUCCUUUGUAUCCCUUUUUAAGAGCAAAGAGCACUUCCUCUGGAAACCUCCAGAGAGAUUCCCCUUCCCAUCCCUGACCCAUGACCCAUUGGGUCACAUUCUUAUUCUUAAAGCGACCGGGCAAGAGUGGCCACCCUUGCCUGACUUGCACUGAACAAGACUGGGGCUUUGGCAUCAGGAAGAAGAAAAAUGACUUCUGGGUAGAUAUUCAAGAAAACCAGACUAAAACUGCCCCUUACCGGAAUUCAGGAAAGAAGCCCUUUCUAAGAUGCUGAGAUAAUGGACUUUUAGGGGGUGAAUACACUUGGCCCAUGUGUGCUGAGCAUCUUCUGGGAGCUGGGGGGGUGCAAAGGUGAAAACCACACAGCCCUGCCUGGUGGUGCUCAGUCUACAGAGGACUAAGCACCAAGAGAUCUUCUGAUUUUAACCUGGCUUCUCCAAUAGCCUUCCUGCAGGGAGGGAAUGGGCUUUGCAGUGGUAGUGAGAAUUUCACUCCCCCUCCCCAGUUUAACUGAGGCAUAAUUGACACAUAACCUUGUAAUAGUUUCAGGUGUACAACAUGUUUCAAUAUAUGUAUAUAUAGUGAAAUGAUCACCGUGAUAAAUUUUUAAAAUUUAUUUUUACUUAUUUAUUUUUAUUGGCAUGUAAUUGCUUUACAAUGUUGUGUUAGUUUCUGUUGUACAAUGAAGUGAAUCAGCUAUAUGUAUACCUAUAUCCCCUCCCUCCUGGACCUCCCUCCACCCGCCCCAUCCCACCCAUCUAGGUCAUCACAGAGCACCAAGCUGAGCUCCCUUCAUCAUGAUAAAUUUGGUUAACAGACAUCACCUCAUAUGUUUCAAUUUUCUUUCUAAUUUUUUUAUCCCCUACUCCCAAUUAUCCCUCUCCCCCCAUUUUUUUCUUGUGAUGAGAACUUUUAAGAUUUAUACUCUCAGCAAAUUUCAAGUAUGCAGUAUACAAAUACACAAUCCAGUGUUGUUAAGUACAGUUGCCAUGCUGCCCAUUACAUCCCUAGAACUUAUUUAUAACUGGAAGUUUGUGCCUUAUGACUACCUUCACCCAUUUCACCCACCCCCAUUCCCCACCUCUGCCAGCCACUACCCUGCUCUCUGUUUUUAUUUUAUUUUGUUAUUUAUUUAUUUGUUUUGGCUCCGCCACGUGACUUGCAAGAUCUUAGUUCCCUGACGAGGGAUCGACUGUGCCCCGUGCAGUGGAAGCACUGAGUUCUAAACACUGGACCGCCAGGGAAGAACCUGUUUUUGUUUUUUUUAGAUUCUACAUAUAAAUGAGAUCAUACAGUAUUUGUCUUUCUCUGUCCGACUUAUUUUACUUAGCAUGAUGCCUUCACGUUCCAUCCAUUUUAUUGUAAAUGGCAGGGUUUCCUUAUUUUUUAUGGGUGAAUAAUAUUCGGGUGUGUGUGUAUCUCGUAUCUUCUUUUUCCAUUCAUCUGUCGAUGGAUAUUUAGGUUGCUUCCACAUCUUGGCUAUUGUAAAUAGUGCUGCAGUGAACAUUGGGGUUCAGAUACCUUUUCAAGAUAGUGAUUUCGUUUCCUUUGGAUAAAUACCCAGAAGUGGAAUUGCCGGAUCAUAUGAUAGUUCUAUUUUUAACUUUUUUAGGAACCUCCACACUGUUUUCCACAGUGGCUGCACCAGUUCACAUUCCCACCAACCACGCACAGGGGUCUCCCCUUUUCUCCACAUCCUCACCAACACUUUUUAUUUGUUGUCUUUUUUUUUUUUUUUUUUGCGGUACGCGGGCCUCUCACUGUUGUGGCCUCUCCCGUUGCGGAGCACAGGCUCCGGACGUGGAGGCUCAGCGGCCAUGGCUCAUGGGCCCAGCUGCUCCGCGGCAUGUGGGAUCUUCCCGGACCGGGGCACGAACCCGCGUCCCCUGCAUCGGCAGGCAGACUCUCAACCACUGCGCCACCAGGGAAGCCCCAGAGCAGGUUUUUAAGUGGUGGGUUGGCAUGAUUAGCACCAGCCUGUCUCCAAGAACUAAAACUUCAAAGUAAAAUGUUAAAACAAAGUCAAUCAAACCCUAGCAGAACUUGAUUUUGACUUAAUUUCUAAAUGGCCUGGAGGUGCCCCUGGUUUGAGGUUUGUCUCUGGCCUUUGUGGAUCCAAAGCCCUAAAAGCCACCUCUGUGGGGGAAGCAGUGUUGUGCACGUUCAUGCGACUUGCUUCACUCCUGGCUCUUGGCCUACUUUCAAGUCGGGUCCUGCCUAGACUUCAGGAGAAUUCUUCUGGGAGAAUCCGAGGCACUAAAGUGCAAAGAUCUGUGUCAGUCAUCCUCUGCUCCAAACUCCAGGGCCAGCGCCCACACUUCAGCCUGGUGAUCCAAUCAAGGAGCCAGACCCUCUCCCGAGGCCUCAGGCCAGAGCUCUGGCUUCUCACUUGCCUUCUUCGGCUCUGCUGGCAGCCCCAGGCAGGAGGCCUGCUCUUGAACUCCAGCCACGAAAGCACCUGGUGACUCCAGGGCUGGAAACCCCACUAUUUAAAAAAGUCUAUAAAAGGUGUUAAUUACUAGGGUCCUUCUGAGUCCCCAUCUCAGCUGGGCCUUCGACAGCCUUUCCCUGAUGAUCCACCUCUACCGUCCUCUUCUCUGUUCCCACCAAGGAGAUAAAGGCUGUCAGAUGUCAGGUUCCUGCCACCCCCCUCCACAUUAAUAUGUUGAAGCCCUAAACCCCCAGAACCUCAGAACGUGACAUUUGGAGACAGGGUCUUUACAGAGGUAAUUAACUUAAAGUGAGGUCAUUAGGGAUGGACACAGGGAAGAUGACGUGAAGAUACUGUUUGGCUUGUGAGCCUAAAACAUCCACUCUCUGGACCUUGAGGGUGUGCCAAGCCCUGAGCUGGACAGCGUUGCAGAGGCACCGGGAGGCAGGACAGAUGGAUUGACAGGCUUUCAAGAAGCACGAGACGUGGCAGCCAGAACCAAACACCUGAGGACUCAACAAGGAGGGUUCCCCCCCCCCGACACCAGCUCUUUGAAAAGGACCUCACAGGAGGCAAAGUUUGAUUAAAAAACAACUUCACAUUUUAUUUUAAGGAAUAUGGUCAUUUGUUGAGUUGAAGGCAUGAAGUACAAGAGCUGCUCUGACACACUCUGAGCAGAAGCUCCUCCUCCCAUGUGCACUUUUAAUGACUCGCUCAUCGUUUUGUACACAUUUCACCCAUCAGAGCUGAAGACGCUUAACAACAUUGGUAACUUUAAAAAUUCUGCAGAAAAGGCCUAUGUAGGCAAAGUAUAAGAUUUUUACUAAAUUGCUGUGGUGUACACUUAAAAUCACAUAUUCACAAAAAGAAGUUAAAGAAAGAGAAAUUAAAA